UUUAUAUAUGGUGUUUUUUGUGA
rnacentral:snRNA from 1 species